rnacentral:tRNA from 1 species
GAUUUGUGAGUAUUCAGAGGUAUAUGGAGAUAUUCCAAAAUACGCUUGUCCUUCCUUGACAGGGAAGGGGUCGUGGGUUCGAAUCCCUCACAGGUCA